GAGACACGGCCCAGACUCCUACGGGAGGCGGCAGUGGGGAAUAUUGCGCAAUGGGCGGAAGCCUGACGCAGCGACGCCGCGUGGGGGAUGACGACCUUCGGGUUGUAAACCUCUUUCAGCAGGGACGAAGUUGACGUGUACCUGCAGAAGAAGCGCCGGCUAACUACGUGCCAGCAGCCGCGGUAAUACGUAGGGCGCAAGCGUUGUCCGGAAUUAUUGGGCGUAAAGAGCUCGUAGGUGGCUUGUCGCGUCGGAUGUGAAAGCUUGGGGCUUAACUCCAGGUCUGCAUUCGAUACGGGCUGGCUAGAGGUAGGUAGGGGCAAGCGGAAUUCCUGGUGUAGCGGUGAAAUGCGCAGAUAUCAGGAGGAACACCGGUGGCGAAGGCGGCUUGCUGGGCCUUACCUGACGCUGAGGAGCGAAAGCGUGGGGAGCGAACAGGAUUAGAUACCCUGGUAGUCCACGCUGUAAACGUUGGGCGCUAGGUGUGGGGGCCUUCCACGGUUUCCGCGCCGCAGCUAACGCAUUAAGCGCCCCGCCUGGGGAGUACGGCCGCAAGGCUAAAACUCAAAGGAAUUGACGGGGGCCCGCACAAGCGGCGGAGCAUGUUGCUUAAUUCGACGCAACGCGAAGAACCUUACCAAGGCUUGACAUCGCCCGGAAACACCCAGAGAUGGGUGCCUCUUCGGACUGGGUGACAGGUGGUGCAUGGCUGUCGUCAGCUCGUG
rnacentral:rRNA from 1 species